UACGAAGGGGGCUAGCGUUGCUCGGAAUCACUGGGCGUAAAGCGCACGUAGGCGGAUCUUUAAGUCAGGGGUGAAAUCCUGGAGCUCAACUCCAGAACUGCCUUUGAUACUGGCGAUCUCGAGUCCGGGAGAGGUGAGUGGAACUGCGAGUGUAGAGGUGAAAUUCGUAGAUAUUCGCAAGAACACCAGUGGCGAAGGCGGCUCACUGGGCCGGUACUGACGCUGAGGUGCGAAAGCGUGGGGAGCAAACAGG
rnacentral:rRNA from 1 species